rnacentral:rRNA from 1 species
AGUCGAGCGGGGGAAGGUAGCUUGCUACCGGACCUAGCGGCGGACGGGUGAGUAAUGCUUAGGAAUCUGCCUAUUAGUGGGGGACAACAUCUCGAAAGGGAUGCUAAUACCGCAUACGUCCUACGGGAGAAAGCAGGGGAUCUUCGGACCUUGCGCUAAUAGAUGAGCCUAAGUCGGAUUAGCUAGUUGGUGGGGUAAAGGCCUACCAAGGCGACGAUCUGUAGCGGGUCUGAGAGGAUGAUCCGCCACACUGGGACUGAGACACGGCCCAGACUCCUACGGGAGGCAGCAGUGGGGAAUAUUGGACAAUGGGGGGAACCCUGAUCCAGCCAUGCCGCGUGUGUGAAGAAGGCCUUAUGGUUGUAAAGCACUUUAAGCGAGGAGG